CCUACGGGAGGCAGCAGUAGGGAAUCUUCCGCAAUGGACGAAAGUCUGACGGAGCAACGCCGCGUGAGUGAAGAAGGUUUUCGGAUCGUAAAACUCUGUUGUGAGGGAAGAACAAGUACCAACUAACUACUGGUACCUUGACGGUACCUCACCAGAAAGCCACGGCUAACUACGUGCCAGCAGCCGCGGUAAUACGUAGGUGGCAAGCGUUGUCCGGAAUUAUUGGGCGUAAAGCGCGCGCAGGCGGUCCUUUAAGUCUGAUGUGAAAGCCCACGGCUCAACCGUGGAGGGUCAUUGGAAACUGGGGGACUUGAGUGCAGAAGAGGAAAGUGGAAUUCCACGUGUAGCGGUGAAAUGCGUAGAGAUGUGGAGGAACACCAGUGGCGAAGGCGACUUUCUGGUCUGUAACUGACGCUGAGGCGCGAAAGCGUGGGGAGCAAACAGGAUUAGAUACCCUGGUAGUCCACGCCGUAAACGAUGAGUGCUAAGUGUUAGGGGGUUUCCGCCCCUUAGUGCUGCAGCUAACGCAUUAAGCACUCCGCCUGGGGAGUACGGUCGCAAGGCUGAAACUCAAAUGAAUUGACGGGG
rnacentral:rRNA from 1 species